rnacentral:SRP_RNA from 1 species
GCCGGGCACAGUGGCGUGUGCCUGUAAUCCCAGCUACUCAGGAGGCUGAGGCAGGAGAAUCGCUUGAACCCAGGAGGCAGAGGUUGCAGUGAGCCGAGAUUGUGCCACUGCACUCCAGCCUGGGUGACAGAGCGAGACUCCGUCUCAA